rnacentral:rRNA from 1 species
CUUUGACGUUAGCGGCGGACGGGUGAGUAACACGUGGGUAACCUACCUAUAAGACUGGGAUAACUUCGGGAAACCGGAGCUAAUACCGGAUAAUAUUUCGAACCGCAUGGUUCGAUAGUGAAAGAUGGUUUUGCUAUCACUUAUAGAUGGACCCGCGCCGUAUUAGCUAGUUGGUAAGGUAACGGCUUACCAAGGCGACGAUACGUAGCCGACCUGAGAGGGUGAUCGGCCACACUGGAACUGAGACACGGUCCAGACUCCUACGGGAGGCAGCAGAC